rnacentral:rRNA from 1 species
CCUACGGGGGGCUGCAGUGGGGAAUAUUGCACAAUGGGGGAAACCCUGAUGCAGCGACGCCGCGUGAGUGAAGAAGCGUUUCGGCGCGUAAAGCUCUGUCAGCGGGGAAGAAACACGGUUCGCGAGAGCCGCGGACGGUACCCGACCAAGAAGCCCCGGCUAACUACGUGCCAGCAGCCGCGGUAAUACGUAGGGGGCAAGCGUUAUCCGGAUUUAUUGGGUUUAAAGGGUGCGUAGGCGGGCUGUUAAGUCAGCGGUCAAAUGUCGGGGCUCAACCCCGGCCUGCCGUUGAAACUGGCGGCCUCGAGUGGGCGAGAAGUAUGCGGAAUGCGUGGUGUAGCGGUGAAAUGCAUAGAUAUCACGCAGAACUCCGAUUGCGAAGGCAGCAUACCGGCGCCCGACUGACGCUGAGGCACGAAAGCGUGGGUAUCGAACAGGAUUAGAUACCCUUGUAGUC